rnacentral:ncRNA from 1 species
CCAGUCCGGGACGUUUGUCCUGGCGUAUCCAGACUCAUGCAACCAUGAUGAUACAUGCACCACUUGUGGGUGUUCAGGGUGUCGUGGUUGUAAUCCCUUCAGUGUGGAACACGCCACGUAAAACAAGUUCGGAGAGAUCCGAAAAGUCACUGUCACUGUCCCCUAUCUACUAUCUAGCGAAACCACAGCCAAGGGAACGGGCUUGGAAAUAAUUAGCGGGGAAAGAAGACCCUUUUGAGCUUGACUCUAAUCUGGCAGUGUAAGGAGACAUAAGAGGUGUAGAAUAAGUGGGAGAUAUUAGACCUCGGUUUGGUAUCGUCAAUGAAAUACCACUACUCUUAUUGUUUCCUUACUUACUUGAUUAAAUGGAACGUGUAUCAUUUCCUAGCCAUUAUACGGAUAUAUUUAUUAUAUCUUAUGGUAUUGGGUUUUGAUGCAAAGCUUCUUGAUCAAAGUAUCACGAGUUUGUUAUAUAAUCGCAAAACAAAUUCUUUAAUAAACCGAUGCAUUUAUGUAUUUUUGAUUUGAAAAUUUGGUAUAACUCCAAUUACUCAGGUAUGAUCCAAUUCAAGGACAUUGCCAGGUAGGGAGUUUGACUGGGGCGGUACAUCUCUCAAAUAAUAACGGAGGUGUCCCAAGGCCAGCUCAGUGCGGACAGAAACCACACAUAGAGCAAAAGGGCAAAUGCUGACUUGAUCUCGGUGUUCAGUACACACAGGGACAGCAAAAGCUCGGCCUAUCGAUCCUUUUGGUUUAAAGAGUUUUUAACAAGAGGUGUCAGAAAAGUUACCAUAGGGAUAACUGGCUUGUGGCGGCCAAGCGUUCAUAGCGACGUCGCUUUUUGAUCCUUCGAUGUCGGCUCUUCCUAUCAUUGUGAAGCAAAAUUCACCAAGCGUUGGAUUGUUCACCCAUGCAAGGGAACGUGAGCUGGGUUUAGACCGUCGUGAGACAGGUUAGUUUUACCCUACUAAUAACAAAACGUUGUUGCGACAGCAUUCCUGCGUAGUACGAGAGGAACCGCAGGUACGGACCAAUGGCACAAUACUUGUUCGAGCGAACAGUGGUAUGACGCUACGUCCGUUGGAUUAUGCCUGAACGCCUCUAAGGUCGUAUCCGUGCUGGACUGCAAUGAUAAAUAAGGGGCAAUUUGCAUUGUAUGGCUUCUAAACCAUUUAAAGUUUAUAAUUUAUUUUAUAAACGACAAAAGAUAUGAUGCCAAAGUAAUUUGUAACAUAGUAAAUUAGGAGGAUCUUCGAUCACAUGAGGCCUCGCUAGUGACAUAUAAAUUCAUUAUUUAAUACAAUGACAAAGCCUAGAAUCAAUGGUAAACGCAAAAUGUAACAGGCAAGGUCAAUAAGUGGUUGAGCAGCGGCCAUACUGCGAUCCACUGAAGCUUAUCCUAAAUAGAUGAUUCGA